rnacentral:lncRNA from 1 species
UAAAAACCUCAUACUACCUAUUAAUGGGAUGGAGUUGUGGGAUAGAACUAAUAUGCCACCAUGUGUGCCUCCUUCAUGCUCCAAACAAUCUAGAAGGCCAGAAGGAAGGAAGCAUGAGAGCUAGAUAGCAAGACUCAACAUAAGGGUGAGUUAAGCAGGAAGGCUAAUGUUGUUUCACAUGUUCAAGACUUAUUGAAGUGUGGCCAAUAUGGAGGAAAUUGCCACAAUAAAAGGACUUGCCAUAGGAAUCUACCCCUCAAAAAAAAGAAAAAAAAGAAGGCCGAGGUAAAAAUCUGAGGAUGAACACUUGUUACUUUCAUGUUUUUAGAUAGAAUCCUGCAACUAACUACAUAUUAUUUUUUGUCUUAACCUAGCAAACUAUUGAAACAAGUGAAGUUGGUCCCAGUUCAAGAACAAGGCGCGUUAAGCCUGCUAAAGUUGUGCAGAAAGGAAAAUGGAAGAGAAAGGACACCACUGCAGCUGGGAGUUCAAAUAUACCACCAAGUGAUUUAGCUGCUCCAUCAUCAACAUUUGCUUCUUCUGCAUCAACUGGAAAUUAUUAUGUAUUGAGGAAACGACAUGUGGUGCUGGGAGUAUCAAACUUGAGCAAGGAAUGAUGACGAUCUUGCAAUUAGUCCUUUUGAAAUGCACACGUGUCCUUGUUGUUAUUUUGAAAUCACAUACUUGUAUUAGCUUGUUAGGUUAUGUUAUUUUGGAUUCACAAGACAAUUUUAGCUGGUUGGGUUAUUUUGGAAGACAAGUUGGCUUAUUUUGGAAGAUAGCUUGUGUUAUUUUGGAAGGCAGGUUCUGUUUUUUUGGAAGACAGAUUCUGUUAUUUAGAAGGUUGUCAAUGUUAUUUUGUGCCCUAUUUUGUUGUCAUGCUGCAA